AGGAUGAACGCUGGCGGCGUGCCUAAUACAUGCAAGUCGAGCGGUAAGGCCCCUUCGGGGGUACACGAGCGGCGGACGGCUGAGUAACACGUAGGAACGUACCCCAAAGUGAGGCAUAAGCACCAGAAAUGGUGUCUAAUACCGCAUGUGGCCCUAGGGCUAAAGCUCCGGCGCUUUGGGAACGGCCUGCGCAUGAUUAGCUUGUUGGUGAGGUAAUAGCUCACCAAGGCGAUGAUCAUUAGCUGGUCUGAGAGGAUGACCAGCCAGACUGGGACUGAGAACGGCCCAGACUCCUACGGGAGGCAGCAGUAGGGAAUUUUCCACAAUGGACGAAAGUCUAGAUGGAGCAACGCCGCGUGCAGGAUGAAUGCCUUCGGGUUGUAAACUGUCUUUUAUAUUGUAGAAGUAUUAUAGACGGUAGCAAUAGUAGAAGUAAAGGAUCGGACUAACUCCGUAGCCAGCACGCCGACGGUAA
rnacentral:rRNA from 1 species